rnacentral:rRNA from 1 species
GUGGGGAAUCUUGCGCAAUGGGCGAAAGCCUGACGCAGCCAUGCCGCGUGGAUGAUGAAGGUCUUAGGAUUGUAAAAUCCUUUCAGCGGGGACGAUAAUGACGGUACCCGCAGAAGAAGCCCCGGCUAACUUCGUGCCAGCAGCCGCGGUAAUACGAAGGGGGCUAGCGUUGCUCGGAUUUACUGGGCGUAAAGGGCGCGUAGGCGGACAGUUAAGUUGGGGGUGAAAGCCCGGGGCUCAACCUCGGAAUUGCCUUCAAUACUGGCUGUCUUGAGUGUGAGAGAGGUGUGUGGAACUCCGAGUGUAGAGGUGAAAUUCGUAGAUAUUCGGAAGAACACCAGUGGCGAAGGCGACACACUGGCUCACUACUGACGCUGAGGCGCGAAAGCGUGGGGAGCAAACAGGAUUAGAAACCCCUGUAGUCC